GACGAACGCUGGCGGCGUGCCUAAUACAUGCAAGUCGAACGAGUGGCGGACGGGUGAGUACUGUCUGGGAAACUGCCCGAUGGAGGGGGAUAACUACUGGAAACGGUAGCUCAUACCGCAUACCAUCGGAUGUGCCCCGAUGGGAUUAGCUAGUAGGUGGGGUAACGGCUCACCGAGGCGACGAUCCCUAGCUGGUCUGAGAGGAUGACCAGCCACACUGGAACGUAGACAGGGUCCAGACUCCUACGGGAGGCAGCAGUGGGGAAUAUUGCACAAUGGGCGAAAGCCUGAUGCAGCCAUGCCGCGUGUAUGAAGAAGGCCGUCGGGUUGUAAAGUACUUUCAGCGAGGAGGCGUUACUCGCAGAAGAAGCACCGGCUAACUCCGUGCCAGCAGCCGCGGUAAUAC
rnacentral:rRNA from 1 species